ACGGUCCUUUUCUCCAUCUCUGACUCACAAUCCAACCACCCACCAAAGUUUCUCCUCCGACUCCUACACACACCCACAUAUAUAUGUGCGUCUGAUCCAAUGCCCUCUUUCUCUCUCUAAAAGUUGUCGCAGAUUCUCUCUCUCUAUAACUGCAAUGGACACCGAGGCAUCACCGGCUAGAGUUCAGCACGUUACCAAGGCGUCCUCCGAUGAGCUGCUGAGAAAGUUCGCCGAGGUGGGGUCUGAAUCCGAGGACAAGGCCGCCGCCAAGAAGGAGCUGCAGCUGGCCAAACGCCGCCGGAAAGCGGCCGCCCGGGAGCGGGAUCUGGAGCAGUGUGAGAGCCCCUCGAGCCGCCGCGCCAGUUGGGUGGAGAGGAAGUCGCUUCUCUCCCCGGCGGCGGCGAGUCGGCGUUCGUCGGCGCUGGUUCGGAACCUUGGGAUUGGGAGGUCGCGGCUUAGGGCUAGGGAGCUGAGGAACAAGUCCUUUGUGGGAACGAUUCAGAAGACAUGGCGUAGAACCAUUGAAGGAGCUUUAAAGGUUUUUCUGGAGAAGCAUCACAACCGACACAAGCGCUUGAUAAAUGACGUCGUUUAGGUGAAACAUUCUUCAUGUUAGCUUAUCUAACUUUUAUAAUAACUAUUCUUUUAAUUUUAUGUGUGAGAUGUCAGUCACCAUAGCCAAAUUAUUGUUGUACCUCUUGAAUUUAGAAGUUCAAUUGUAACCUAUUAAAUGAUUGGCACUUGGCUCAUUUGUCUUAGCAGGGAACUAAGCUAGUUUGAACUUUGCAAAGUAGGGAGAAAGUAGAGAAAGAAAGCUCUAUAAAUAAUUUCUAUAUCUUGGUAAGAUUUUCAAUGUUGUUGAUAUGUCUAUUGGUAAGCUCUAGAAAUUACAAAUGAGUUUCGAGACCACUUAUAUAGAAUGUUAGAUAUGUCUAUUCAAAUAUCAUAUUAAAUAG